GGGCUCUGAUUGCUAUGCACCACAUGUGUUUUUCUUUGAAACAAACUUGCUUUGGCGGUGGGCCCAGCCUGCCGCCAGAGGUCUAAACUUACAACCAAUUUUUUAUUAACUUGUCACACCAGAUUAUUACUAAUAGUCAAAACUUUCAACAACGGAUCUCUUGGUUCUCGCAUCGAUGAAGAACGCAGCGAAAUGCGAUACGUAAUAUGAAUUGCAGAUAUUCGUGAAUCAUCGAAUCUUUGAACGCACAUUGCGCCCUCUGGUAUUCCGGAGGGCAUGCCUGUUUGAGCGUCGUUUCUCCCUCAAACCGCUGGGUUUGGUGUUGAGCAAUACGACUUGGGUUUGCUUGAAAGACGGUAGUGGUAAGGCGGGAUCGCUUUGACAAUGGCUUAGGUCUAACCAAAAACAUUGCUUGCGGCGGCAACGUCUACCACGUAUAUCUUCAAACUUUGACCUCAAAUCAGGUAGGACUACCCGCUGAACUUAAGCAUAUCAAAAGCCGGAGGAA
rnacentral:rRNA from 1 species